GCGGGUGGCGAACGGGUGAGUAAUAUAUCGGAACGUACCCUAGAGUGGGGGAUAACGUAGCGAAAGUUACGCUAAUACCGCAUACGAUCUAAGGAUGAAAGUGGGGGAUCGCAAGACCUCAUGCUCGUGGAGCGGCCGAUAUCUGAUUAGCUAGUUGGUAGGGUAAAAGCCUACCAAGGCAUCGAUCAGUAGCUGGUCUGAGAGGACGACCAGCCACACUGGAACUGAGACACGGUCCAGACUCCUACGGGAGGCAGCAGUGGGGAAUUUUGGACAAUGGGCGAAAGCCUGAUCCAGCAAUGCCGCGUGAGUGAAGAAGGCCUUCGGGUUGUAAAGCUCUUUUGUCAGGGAAGAAACGGUGAGAGCUAAUAUCUCUUGCUAAUGACGGUACCUGAAGAAUAAGCACCGGCUAACUACGUGCCAGCAGCCGCGGUA
rnacentral:rRNA from 1 species